GGCCCAGACCCAUGCGACGGAGAAUUGUGAAUCCCGCCAGGUCCGGAAGGAAGCAACGGUAAGCAAACCUCUUCGGGCGCCACGGUAAUCUGGGGCUCC
rnacentral:SRP_RNA from 1 species